rnacentral:lncRNA from 1 species
AUGUCAUGCGUGAGCCAGGGGUUUUACGAGGCCUUCGGGGGUUGGUUCCCCGGAAUUGGUGGCUUUUUGCGUAUGAGUGUACUUGGAUGGUCGGGUUUUAAGCAUAAGAUAUGGUGAAUAAAAUUAAAAACAUUAGAAGAAAUAAUAUUUAAGUUGUAAAAAAAUAAUAUUUAAGUUGUAAAUAACCAACCCUAACAUUCUUCUCUUGUUCUCCAGUUGAUAAUUUAAAGGAAAAAAAGAUGAGAGAAUUAGUGAUUUCCAGCUUGAAAUUGAAGCAACUUUGGAGAAAUCAAUGACGCUGACAAGAAAAUGAAAAUUGUGCAGAAUUAGAAGCAAUGGGGCUCGUUUUGCUUCUUUUUUGAAGAUGGAACGUUUACACAAAGAUGGACGGGUUGUUGUCGACGGUUCAUGGCUCACUGCAGA